rnacentral:rRNA from 1 species
CAAUAGCGUAUAUUAAAGUUGUUGCAGUUAAAAAGCUAGUAGUUGGAUUUCUGGUUGAAGCGACCGGUCGGGCGUUGAUUCGUCUGCACUGGAGUCGGUUUUGGCCAUCCUCUAGGAAAGUGCGUCUGGUAUUAAGUUAUCGGGCGUAUGAUCCUGGUCUUUUACUGUGAAAAAAUUAGAGUGUUUAAAGCAGGCCUUCGCCUUGAAUACAUUAGCAUGGAAUAAUAAGAUAGGACUUUGGUCUAUUUUGUUGGUUUGCAGACCGAAGUAAUGAUUAAUAGGGAUAGUUGGGGGUAUUUAUAUUCCGAUGUCAGAGGUGAAAUUCUUAGAUUUUCGGAAGAUAAACUUAUGCGAAAGCAUUUACCAAGGAUGUUUNCAUUAA